GGCGGCAUGCCUAACACAUGCAAGUCGAACGAACUCUUCGGAGUUAGUGGCGCACGGGUGCGUAACGCGUGGGAAUCUGCCCUUGGGUACGGAAUAACUCAGAGAAAUUUGUGCUAAUACCGUAUAAUGUCUUCGGACCAAAGAUUUAUCGCCCAAGGAUGAGCCCGCGUAAGAUUAGCUAGUUGGUGAGGUAAAAGCUCACCAAGGCGACGAUCUUUAGCUGGUCUGAGAGGAUGAUCAGCCACACUGGGACUGAGACACGGCCCAGACUCCUACGGGAGGCAGCAGUGGGGAAUAUUGGACAAUGGGCGAAAGCCUGAUCCAGCAAUGCCGCGUGAGUGAUGAAGGCCUUAGGGUUGUAAAGCUCUUUUACCCGGGAUGAUAAUGACAGUACCGGGAGAAUAAGCUCCG
rnacentral:rRNA from 1 species